UCUUCCCGAGGUGUGGAAGGAAGACCGAAGGCGGUUGUGUGGUGGUCUGCUCUGGCCGCAGAAGCCGCGAGAAGAACGGCGGAUCCCUGCCAGUGCCGCAGAAGCAAAUCUCCCUAAACCAUCAAGGCAUGGCUCCCUGCCCCAGCAAUGACUGGGAAGUGAGUUCCAGGAGAGGAGCUCAGAAGCCCAGCAGACCGGGGGCAGAGCCCUGAUCUGAGGCUCCUUGGAAGGAGAUCUCUCUGCAGCAGCUCCCAGCUCCAAAGAAAAGACCGGUUACAUCUAUAGAAUGGCCAUACGAAAUAUCAAGUUAUUUUUAUUUUGUUUAAUUUUUCUUUUGUAGGUUAUCCAUGGAUAUUUUGGUUAUUUGAAAUGGUCAUACUCAAAUAUUUGACAUCUAAAACCUUUGAGGAUGAUGUGAGUGCAUUUUUUUGCAUAUAUUUCAAUAACUUGAUAAAAAAAAGCAAGCUAAUAAUGACUAUUUGAUUUAUUAAAGUGCUAAUGUUUAAACCAAAUUCUAGAUGAAGUCUG